rnacentral:rRNA from 1 species
CCUGGUUGAUCCUGCCAGUAAUCAUAUGCUUGUCUCAAAGAUUAAGCCAUGCAUGUCUAAGUACAUGCCGAAAUAAGGCGAAACCGCGAAUGGCUCAUUAAAUCAGUUAUGGUUCCUUAGAUCGUUUCUUCCUACUUGGAUAACUGUGGCAAUUCUAGAGCUAAUACAUGCAGUGAGCCUGGAGCCCUUUGGGUAACGGGUGCUUUUAUUAGACCAAGAUCGAUCGGGUUUCGGCCCGUAUUGUGUGGUGACUCUGGAUAACUUUGUGCUGAUCGCAUGGCCCCGAGCCGGAGCCGGCCGUUUUCUUUCAAGUUGUUUCCUGGCCCCCUUUAUCAAAACCAUUUCGAUGGGGUAAAGGCGUACUUGGGGCCCUUUACCCAUUGGUUCGUUACCGGUGAUAACGGAGAUCAGGGGUUUGAUUCCGGAGAGGAGGCCUGAGAAACGGGCGGGGCUACAUCCAAGGAAGGCAGCAGGCGCGCAAAUUACCCACUCCCGGCACGGGGAGGUAGUGACGAAAAAUAACAAUACGGGACUCUUUUGAGGCCCCGUAAUUGAAAUGAGUACACUCUAAAUCCUUUAACGAGGGUCACCAAUUGGAGGGGCGGUUUUUGGUGCCAAGGAGGGGCCGCGGGUAAUUCGGCUAUAGUAUACUAAAGCUGCUGCGGUUAAAAAGCUCGUAGUUGGAUCUCAGUUCCAGACGAGUAGUGCAUCUACCCGAUGCGACGGCUCGGACUGAACAUCAUGCCGGUUCUUUCUUGGUGCACUUCAUUGUGUGCCUCGAGAUGGCCGGUGCUUUUACUUUGAAAAAAUUAGAGUGCUCAACGCAGGCGAGCCUGAAUAAACUUGCAUGGAAUAAUAGAACAAGACCUCGUUUCUGUUCUGUUGGUUUUUGGAAUACGAGGUAAUGAUUAAGAGGGACGGACGGGGGCAUUCGUAUUGCGGCGCUAGAGGUGAAAUUCUUGGACCGUCGCAAGACGAACUACUGCGAAAGCAUUUGCCAAGAAUGUUUUCAUUGAUCAAGAACGAAAGUCAGAGGUUCGAAGGCGAUCAGAUACCGCCCUAGUUCUGACCAUAAACGAUGCCAACCAGCGAUCCGCCUGAGUUACUCAAAUGACUCGGCGGGCAGCUUCCGGGAAACCAAAGUAUUUGGGUUCCGGGGGAAGUAUGGUUGCAAAGCUGAAACUUAAAGGAAUUGACGGAAGGGCACCACCAGGAGUGGAGCCUGCGGCUUAAUUUGACUCAACACGGGAAAACUUACCCGGCCCGGACACUGGGAGGAUUGACAGAUUGAGAGCUCUUUCUUGAUUCGGUGGAUGGUGGUGCAUGGCCGUUCUUAGUUGGUGGAGCGAUUUGUCUGGUUAAUUCCGAUAACGAACGAGACUCUAGCCUAUUAAAGGUGCGGGGUUCCCAGCACCUUACAACCUUCUUAGAGGGACAAGCGGCUCCUAGCCCCGGCCACCCACCGGAAAACAGAGCCAAUAAAAGGGAGGUUACUGUGGGAUUGCCCCCUUUCAGAUGUUUCCCGGGGCCCGGGGCCACAACGACCCGGGCGCUCCACUGAAGGGAAAGGCCGGGGCGUUGUCCUUUUUAUUCCCUGUCUGGAAAAAAGGAUGGGGUAACCCCCGGGGAACUUCUUUCGUGAUUGGGAUAGGGGCUUGCAAUUGUUCCCCUUGAACGAGGAAUUCCCAGUAAGCGCGAGUCAUAAGCUCGCGUUGAUUACGUCCCUGCCCUUUGUACACACCGCCCGUCGCUACUACCGAUUGAAUGAUUUAGUGAGGUCUUCGGACCGAUGUCCGGCGCGGCCUUUCGGUUGCGCCGGUCUGUUGGAAAGAUGACCAAACUUGAUCAUUUAGAGGAAGUAAAAGUCGUAACAAGGUUUCCGUAGGUGAACCUGCGGAAG